UGCGUAGGCGGAUCAAUGAGUCAGUGGUGAAAUCUCUCGGCUCAACCGGGAAACUGCCAUUGAUACUGUUGAUCUUGAGUUCGGUUGAGGUAGGCGGAAUGUGUAAUGUAGCGGUGAAAUGCUUAGAUAUUACACAGAACACCAAUUGCGUAGGCAGCUUACUAGACCGACACUGACGCUGAGGCACGAAAGCGUGGGGAGCGAACAGGAUUAGAUACCCUGGUAGUCC
rnacentral:rRNA from 1 species